AGAAAUUCUCCCUUGGCUUUUUUUUUUCUGCUGUUAGAUUAGGAGUGACUGCUUCCCUGCUACCUGGUUUAUACAGGUAGUCCUCACGACUACAAUUGAGCCCCAAAAUGGCUGCAGUGAGAAAGCAGGAAGGGAAGGAGGAGGAAGAAUCUCUGCUCCAAAGUGAAAGGAUUCGUG